rnacentral:miRNA from 9 species
UAUCACAGCCAUUUUGACGAGUU